UGGCACCACCCAGCACGGCCCGCGGCUGCUCCAUCGCCACUCUGCGGAAGUCUCACUGCCUUCGGUGCCAUAGCGGGCGGCGAGAAGGGAUAAGAGCUGCAGAACGUCCCAGCCGUUUGGAGAAGGGCUGAAUGCGGCGGCACCGCUUUCUUGAAAAGUAGGAGGGCAUGGUGUCUCUGACCAUGCAUGGAGUGCCUUUGAAAAGCAGCAUACUUGGGUGAACUCUAGCAAGGCUGUUUGAGCACCUGAAAGGCCAAACCUGAGGAAGUUUAACCCCUAUGCGGUCCCUCUUAAAAAGGCACUCUGGGAAUAAAUUGGGAAAACAAAACAAAACAAAAUAAAUUGGGAAACACACUGCUGCUUAUCAGCAACUGA